rnacentral:rRNA from 1 species
CCUACGGGAGGCAGCAGUGGGGAAUAUUGUGCAAUGGGCGCAAGCCUGACCCAGCAACGCCGCGUGAAGGAAGAAGGCUUUCGGGUUGUAAACUUCUUUUGUCAGGGAAGAGUAGAAGCCGUUACCUGACGAAUAAGCCACGGCUAACUACGUGCCAGCAGCCGCGGUAAUACGUAGGUGGCAAGCGUUGUCCGGAUUUACUGGGUGUAAAGGGCGUGUAGCCGGGUUGACAAGUCAGAUGUGAAAUCCUGCGGCUUAACCGCAGAACUGCAUUUGAAACUGUUGAUCUUGAGUACUGGAGAGGCAGACGGAAUUCCUAGUGUAGCGGUGAAAUGCGUAGAUAUUAGGAGGAACACCAGUGGCGAAGGCGGUCUGCUGGACAGCAACUGACGGUGAGGCGCGAAAGCGUGGGGAGCAAACAGGAUUAGAUACCCCAGUAGUC